UACGAAGGGUGCAAACGUUGCUCGGAAUCAUUGGGCGUAAAGCGCACGUAGGCGGCCUCGCAAGUUGGAUGUGAAAUCCCUCGGCUCAACCGAGGGCGUGCAUCCAAAACUGCUUGGCUUGAGUACUGAAGAGGAUCGCGGAAUUCCCGGUGUAGAGGUGAAAUUCGUAGAUAUCCGGAGGAACACCGGUGGCGAAGGCGGCUUCCUGGACCGACACUGACGCUGAGGCGCGAAAGCUAGGGGAGCAAACGGG
rnacentral:rRNA from 1 species